rnacentral:rRNA from 1 species
AGUUACGGCGGUACUGGAUGGGCAUGCGUGACAUUAGCUAGUUGGUAGGGUAACGGCCUACCAAGGCAUCGAUGUCUAGGGGUCCUGAGAGGGUGAUCCCCCACACUGGUACUGAGACACGGACCAGACUCCUACGGGAGGCAGCAGUGAGGAAUAUUGGUCAAUGGGCGCAAGCCUGAACCAGCCAUCCCGCGUGAAGGAAGAAUGCGCUAUGCGUUGUAAACUUCUUUUCCAGGGGAAUAAAAUUUCGUACGUGUACGGGACUGAAGGUACCUUGGGAAUAAGCAUCGGCUAACUCCGUGCCAGCAGCCGCGGUAAUACGGAGGAUGCGAGCGUUAUCCGGAUUUAUUGGGUUUAAAGGGUGCGUAGGCGGAAAAAUAAGUCAGAGGUGAAAACCUUCAGCUUAACUGGAGACUUGCCAUUGAUACUGUUAUUCUUGAGUAUAGUUAAGGUAGGCGGAAUGUGUAAUGUAGCGGUGAAAUGCUUAGAUAUUACACAGAACACCAAUUGCGAAGGCAGCUUACUGAGCUAUAACUGACGCUGAUGCACGAAAGCGUGGGGAGCGAACAGGAUUAGAUACCCUGGUAGUCCACGCCGUAAACGAUGAUCACUCGCUGUUGGCGAUACACAGUCAGCGGCUAAGCAAAAGCAUUAAGUGAUCCACCUGGGGAGUACGGCCGCAAGGCUGAAACUCAAAGGAAUUGACGGGGGCCCGCACAAGCGGAGGAACAUGUGGUUUAAUUCGAUGAUACGCGAGGAACCUUACCUGGGCUUAAAUGUAUAGUGCAUUCCUUCGAAAAGAGGAUUUCCUUCGGGACUCUACGCAAGGUGCUGCAUGGUUGUCGUCAGCUCGUGCCGUGAGGUGUCGGGUUAAGUCCCAUAACGAGCGCAACCCUUAUCGUUAGUUGCCAGCGGGUAAUGCCGGGAACUCUAGCGAAACUGCCGGUGUAAACCGAGAGGAAGGUGGGGAUGACGUCAAAUCAGCACGGCCCUUAUGUCCAGGGCUACACACGUGUUACAAUGG